rnacentral:ncRNA from 1 species
UGACCCGGUGGUGCGCGCUGCUCUUUAAAGCACUUGGGGAAAUUACCAACCACACCAAACCCGGCCUGACCGUCCGGGAAUUGGGGGACACUCAUUCGGGUGAUGGGGGCAUAAGCGGGUCGGUUUGGUGGGGUACGGUCGCCGCACACCACCACAACCACAGACAAGAGAACGGCCCCCGACAGGACAGCAAUCCUGACGAGGGCCUGACCAAGUAGGAAGAAGAGAGCUUCCCC